rnacentral:rRNA from 1 species
UACGUAGGGGGCUAGCGUUGUCCGGAAUCAUUGGGCGUAAAGCGCACGUAGGCGGACUCUUAAGUCGGUGGUGAAAUCCCGAGGCUCAACCUCGGAACUGCCUUUGAUACUGGCGAUCUUUGAGUCCGGGAGAGGUGAGUGGAACUCCGAGUGUAGAGGUGAAAUUCGUAGAUAUUCGGAAGAACACCAGUGGCGAAGGCGGCUCACUGGCCCGGUACUGACGCUCAUGUGCGAAAGCGUGGGGAGCAAACAGG